UAGGGAAUCUUCCGCAAUGGACGCAAGUCUGACGGAGCAACGCCGCGUGAGUGAAGAAGGAUUUCGGUUCGUAAAACUCUGUUGUUAGAGAAGAACAGCGCAUAGAGUAACUGUUAUGCGUGUGACGGUAUCUAACCAGAAAGCCACGGCUAACUACGUGCCAGCAGCCGCGGUAAUACGUAGGUGGCAAGCGUUGUCCGGAUUUAUUGGGCGUAAAGCGAGCGCAGGCGGUCAAUUAAGUCUGAUGUGAAAGCCCCCGGCUCAACCGGGGAGGGGCAUUGGAAACUGGUUGACUUGAGUGCAGAAGAGGAGAGUAGAAUUCCAUGUGUAGCGGUGAAAUGCGUAGAUAUAUGGAGGAACACCAGUGGCGAAGGCGACUCUCUGGUCUGUAACUGACGCUGAGGCUCGAAAGCGUGGGUAGCAAACAGG
rnacentral:rRNA from 1 species